UACGUAGGGGGCUAGCGUUGUCCGGAUUUAUUGGGCGUAAAGAGCGUGUAGGCGGCCAGGUAGGUCUGGUGUGAAAACUCGAGGCUUAACCUCGAGAUGUCAUCGGAAACCAUCUGGCUAGAGUCCGGAAGAGGAGAGUGGAAUUCACGGUGUAGCAGUGAAAUGCGUAGAUAUCGUGAGGAACACCAGAGGCGAAGGCGGCUACCUGGACAAUUGCUGACGCUCAGGCACGAAAGCGUGGGGAGCAAAAGGG
rnacentral:rRNA from 1 species